rnacentral:rRNA from 1 species
UUCAAUUUUUGAAGUUUCUCUAGCUUUUUUGUUGGGUGAAAUCAGUAUAAGAAGCUCUUUCUUCUUUAAAAAUUAGUAGGAACUAAAAAACUUUGAUUUAAAACCAGGAUUAGAUACCCUGUUAUUCUCAGUUAUUCUUAAACAGGGUAGUAAAAGUUGUUCUUCAAACCCAAAGAUUUUGGCGGCACUUUAUCCAAAUAGAGGAGCUUGUCCCUUAAUCGAUAGUCCUCGUUUUAUCUUUCCUUCAUUUGUAAAGCUUGUAUACCGCCGUUGUCAGAUUACUUUUAGAGAAUGUUUUCAAGUUAAAAGACUUUAUAACUUCAGGUCAAGGUGCAGCUUAUAUGGGGGUGGAGGUGAGCUACAGUUUUCUUUAGAAAAUACGGAUUCUAAGCUUUGAAGCUAGCUGAAGGUGGAUUUACUAGUAAAGUAAUUUAAGUAAA